GAGUAAGUAGCCUGUGAGCACUUACUUCCUGGAUCAUUUCCUGAUCCCCCACACCUCUGUCCCCCUCCCUCUUUGGUGGCAUUUCGUUCAGACUGCUCAUCCAUAUUCCCCUCAUCUCCUGGCUCAGUUCCACCCCGGCUUAAGUCUAAGGGUUGCCUUCCUAGGGGACGGCCUGGCCUGCAGGAACGGAACGCCUGGACUUACACUGCGUUCGUGGCAAAGUAUCCGCGCCCUUGUCUCAGUAUUGAAGGAACUGGCCUGGACUGAUGGGAGGGCCAAAAAGGUCAGAGGAGGUGCAGUAUGAUGAAGGAGAAGAGGAACAGACCUUCAUGGGUGCCCGUCAGCUGUCUGCCAGCCCAGCUUGGCCCCGGAGAGUCCCAGUGAGGAGCCCCUGCUGGUGUGCCAGACCUCUGGGGGGCUGUCCGCCCGACUGCUCCAGACUCCGGCAGCGGGGCCUCCGAUGGCAGUGGGCACCUCCCCGUGAAACCUGCCAAGCUGGACGCCACAGCUCUGCACGACGACGCUUUGGCCAACUCUGUGCCCCCUUCGGAGGCGUGCAACCAUGCAGUCCUAGCCUGCAGCCCGGGCAUCCCUGA
rnacentral:lncRNA from 1 species